rnacentral:rRNA from 1 species
CCUACGGGGGGCAGCAGUAGGGAAUCUUCGGCAAUGGACGAAAGUCUGACCGAGCAACGCCGCGUGAGUGAAGAAGGUUUUCGGAUCGUAAAACUCUGUUGGUAGAGAAGAACGUUGGUGAGAGUGGAAAGCUCAUCAAGUGACGGUAACUACCCAGAAAGGGACGGCUAACUACGUGCCAGCAGCCGCGAUAAUACGUAGGUUCCGAGCGUUGUCCGGAUUUAUUGGGCGUAAAGCGAGCGCAGGUGGUUUACUAAGUCUGGUGUGAAAGGCAGUGGCUCAACCAUUGUAUGCAUUGGAAACUGGUAGACUUGAGUGCAGGAGAGGAGAGUGGAAUUCCAUGUGUACCGGUGAAAUGCGUAGCUAUAUGGAGGAACACCGGUGGCGAAAGCGGCUCUCUGGCCUGUAACUGACACUGAGGCUCGAAAGCGUGGGGAGCAAACAGGAUUAGAUACCCGGGUCGUC